rnacentral:rRNA from 1 species
ACUCCUACGGGAGGCAGCAGUGGGGAAUAUUGCACAAUGGGCGAAAGCCUGAUGCAGCGACGCCGCGUGAGGGAUGACGGCCUUCGGGUUGUAAACCUCUUUCAGUCAGGAACAAGCCACUUGUGGUGAGGGUACUGGCAGAAGAAGCACCGGCUAACUACGUGCCAGCAGCCGCGGUAAUACGUAGGGUGCGAGCGUUAUCCGGAAUUAUUGGGCGUAAAGAGCUUGUAGGCGGUUUGUCGCGUCUGCUGUGAAAGCCCGGGGCUUAACUCCGGGUCUGCAGUGGGUACGGGCAGGCUAGAGUGAUGUAGGGGUAACUGGAAUUCCUGGUGUAGCGGUGGAAUGCGCAGAUAUCAGGAAGAACACCGAUGGCGAAGGCAGGUUACUGGGCAUUUACUGACGCUGAGAAGCGAAAGCAUGGGGAGCGAACAGGAUUAGAUACCCUGGUAGGCGUA